UCCUACGGGACGCAGCAGUGGGGAAUAUUGCACAAUGGGGGAAACCCUGAUGCAGCGACGCCGCGUGAGUGAAGAAGUAUCUCGGUACGUAAAGCUCUAUCAGCAGGGAAGAAAAAAAGUCUUUGGCUUUGGACGGUACCUGACUAAGAAGCCCCGGCUAACUACGUGCCAGCAGCCGCGGUAAUACGUAGGGGGCAAGCGUUAUCCGGAUUUACUGGGUGUAAAGGGAGCGUAGACGGCAGCGCAAGUCUGGAGUGAAAUGCCGGGGCUCAACCCCGGAACUGCUUUGGAAACUGUGCAGCUAG
rnacentral:rRNA from 1 species